rnacentral:rRNA from 1 species
CAGCCGCCACGGGAAUACAGAGGGUGCGAGCGUUAAUCGGAUUUACUGGGCGUAAAGCGUGCGUAGGCGGCUAAUUGAGUCGGAUGUGAAAUCCCCGAGCUUAACUUGGGAAUUGCAUUCGAUACUGGUUAGCUAGAGUGUGGGAGAGGAUGGUAGAAUUCCAGGUGUAGCGGUGAAAUGCGUAGAGAUCUGGAGGAAUACCGAUGGCGAAGGCAGCCAUCUGGCCUAAUACUGACGCUGAGGUACGAAAGCAUGGGGAGCAAACAGGAUUAGAUACCCGCGUAGUCCCUGUCUCUUAUAC